rnacentral:rRNA from 1 species
AACGAACGCUGGCGGCAUGCCUAACACAUGCAAGUCGAACGAGACCUUCGGGUCUAGUGGCGCACGGGUGCGUAACGCGUGGGAACCUUCCCUUAGGUUCGGAAUAACUCCCCGAAAGGGGUGCUAAUACCGGAUAAUGUCUUCGGACCAAAGAUUUAUCGCCUUUGGAUGGGCCCGCGUUGGAUUAGCUAGUUGGUAGGGUAAAAGCCUACCAAGGCGACGAUCCAUAGCUGGUCUGAGAGGAUGAUCAGCCACACUGGGACUGAGACACGGCCCAGACUCCUACGGGAGGCAGCAGUGGGGAAUAUUGGAAAAUGGGCGAAAGCCUGAUCCAGCAAUGACGCGUGAGUGAUGAAGGCCUUAGGGUUGUAAAGCUCUUUUACCCGGGAUGAUAAUGACAGUACCGGGAGAAUAAGCUCCGGCUAACUCCGUG